rnacentral:rRNA from 1 species
GAUGAACGCUGACAGAAUGCUUAACACAUGCAAGUCAACUGUGGCGGACGGGUGAGUAACGCGUAAAGAACUUGCCUAACAGAUAGGGACACCAUUUGGAAACGAAUGCUAAUACCUGAUACUGUGAGAGAGCUUUGCGUCCCAUUAGCUAGUUGGAGAGGUAACGGCUCACCAAGGCGAGGAUGGGGAGCCGGCCUGAGAGGGUGAUCGGCCACAAGGGGAAUGAGGCACGGCCCUUACUCCUACGGGAGGCAGCAGUGGGGAAUACUUGACAAUGGACCAAAGUCUGAUCCAGCAAUUCUGUGUGUACGAUGAAGUUUUCGGAAUGUAAAGUGCUUUCAGUUGGGAAGCGGUACCAACAGAAGAAGUGACGGCUAAAUACGUGCCAGCAGCCGCGGUAAUUC